AACGAACGCUGGCGGCAGGCUUAACAAAUGCAAGUCGAACGCCCCGCAAGGGGAGUGGCAGACGGGUGAGUAACGCGUGGGAAUCUACCCAAUUCUACGGAAUAACCCAGGGAAACUUGGACUAAUACCGUAUACGCCCUACGGGGGAAAGAUUUAUCGGAAUUGGAUGAGCCCGGGUAAGAUUAGCUAGUUGGUGGGGUAAUGGACUACCAAGGCGACGAUCUUUAGCUGGUCUGAGAGGAUGAUCAGCCACACUGGGACUGAGACACGGCCCAGACUCCUACGGGAGGCAGCAGUGGGGAAUAUUGGACAAUGGGCGCAAGCCUGAUCCAGCCAUGCCGCGUGAGUGAUGAAGGCCUUAGGGUUGUAAAGCUCCUUCAGUGGGGAAGAUAAUGACGGUACCCACAGAAGAAGCCCCGGCUAACUUCGUGCCAGCCGCCGCUGUAA
rnacentral:rRNA from 1 species